rnacentral:lncRNA from 1 species
UGUAACGUUUUAUAAAGGUGCUUUGACACUGAAUUUAAGUUGCAAUUAUGCUGUGCGUUACGAUCCAUGCUGUUGUGGUAUUGACAAAAACAUUGUGAUUACGAUUUACUGAAUGUGAAGUGAACAUAAUAUGUUUUAAUUAAUGAUGUUUUAUUUGAUAAUAAUUAACAUUUGGGUGCCGCCUUGCAUUAAUAAUGUAACUCAUGAAAUUUCGAACAUCAUCAUGUUUGUUUUGUCGUAGUAGGAAUAUAAUGUUUCCAGAUAUUUUUCUAAUGGUCUAAGAUGGAUGAGAUCGUGGUCAAAGCGCGACAGUUUCCCGCUCAUAUUCAUUGUUGAAUACUCAAUGUAUACAUGUACUUUAUUGCACACACCAACGUAACUAGAAAUAUGAUUCCUGUUCUCAGAGAAAAUAUUACCAUGGCGCAUGCGCAUCAGCAGAAAUUCCACGUCCAGACCGCGUGAUAGCUUAUUUGAAUUGCUCUGCUCAGUCGAGUCAGCAAUCGAGCAGCAGCAGCUCACUAUAACGGUCGCCGACUCGCCGUCCAGUUGAUGUGAAGUAGCCAUGGUCGCCAAGCAAGUUAUUUUCACUACAGCAUUUCUUAGAAGGUAGGCAGUACACAUGUAUGCUAUACGUGAGUGCACUGGCAGCAGGAUGUAGCAUGUUUAAACUUUUAACUUCAGCAGUCUUCGAGGGAGGAAGUUUCUAAUUAUUUUAAAAACCACCCCAUACAUCUCUUCAAGGUUGUUGCUGUACCUGCAUGACAUGACUUCGCAUGAACUUUUAGAAAUGGCAGCCGAUUGUGCUUGGUUAUCCAGAAGGGCCAAGAUUCAAGAUUCGUGUCUUUGGAGAAGUGCCAUAUUGACAAUUAACCUUGCUGAACAAGGAAUCCACUUACUUCUACAUCUGGAUAAUCUUCUGUUAAAGGUUCCAUUAAAUGAAUGUUACUCUAAAACAUAGAUUGGGCAAUUAGCCAAUCUUAAUGGAGGUACUCAAAGAAAAUCAUGUUGAAAUGUCAAUAUUUUAAAAUGCAGGUUUUUUGCGAGUUCCCUGCAUACAAAUAUAUCUUCACGAACAAACGCUAUUCAAGUAUCCCUUUCAAGUGUAAUUCUUUUUCAUAGACUCUAUAGCUACAAAAAAAACCAAAACAAUUCCUUUGAGUUUUCUUUUGAAGAUGUUCCAUGGGAGAGAAAGAAAAUGAAGGAUCUAGAUAGAGGACAGAUUUAAAAAGCAUGUGAUUCAGUAGAUUAAAAGUUGUCUGAUCUAUUUUAUUUGUUCGAUGUGAAAGUCGCCUUCCUAUACUAUAUUUCUUAUCACGGACAGUGGAAAAUACUAAUUUUCAAAUACUAUAUGAAACCAUUCUUUUGCCUGAAUGUACGUUACGUAUAGCACUGUGUAUUUUUCAUGAAUUGAUCCAAUACAUGAAUAGGUAUUCUCUAGUGUGGGUAACAUUGUGAUAUGGUACCCCUCUGAAGGUGAUGUAUAAAACCGGUUAGUGGUUAGUGGGUCGACGAUAAUAGCCCUUGCAUUCCGGCUCUGGCUAUAUUAUUGGCGACCAGACCCUUUAUCUUCUAAUUGCUCAGUAACAACGUUAUUGUCUUGUUAAAAGGUUGGUUCAUACUCUGUGAAGUUACGGCAAUUCACUUUGUGAAGUUACGGCAAUCAUUAACGCCAGCGCUAAAAAUUCUGGGGAAAAAAGAGUGAACCACAUUUAACUCUGGGCAAUUUUGAGUCAAAUGGUUUCGAUGUCAACAUUUCAAAAUUUGCUUUCACUUGAAGUAUGAACCGAUCGUUAGAGCUCAGCCCAGUCACUAAGGCGUGAAUUCCUUAAUGUGGAUUCAAGUAAAAGACUUUAAUUGUAUACCAUUCACGAAAUGGACCCUGUAGUAAUAUGUGCAUAUUGAUGUGUCUAAAUAAUUGCAGUGAGUAUUAAUUACACUUACCGUUUUAGUGAUUGCAUUUUAGUAAUGUUUUUACAUGCUGUUGUUUCUGAACACUCUUUGUAAUAAAAUUAGAGAAACAUGAA